UAGGGAAUCUUCCGCAAUGGACGAAAGUCUGACGGAGCAACGCCGCGUGAGUGAAGAAGGAUUUCGGUUCGUAAAACUCUGUUGUUAGGGAAGAAAAAAUGUAUAGUAACUAUAUACAAAAGAGACGGUACCUAACCAGAAAGCCACGGCUAACUACGUGCCAGCAGCCGCGGUAAUACGUAGGUGGCAAGCGUUGUCCGGAAUUAUUGGGCGUAAAGCGCGCGCAGGUGGUUUAGAAAGUCUGAUGUGAAAGCCCACGGCUCAACCGUGGAGGGUCAUUGGAAACUAAUAGACUUGAGUGCAGGAGAGAAAAGUGGAAUUCCUAGUGUAGCGGUGAAAUGCGUAGAGAUUAGGAGGAACACCGGUGGCGAAAGCGGCUUUUUGGCCUGCAACUGACACUGAGGCGCGAAAGCGUGGGGAGCAAACAGG
rnacentral:rRNA from 1 species